ACCUGCCGCAUUGGCCGUAGCCGCGGCUUUGAUUCCACUCCUCGCUCUCACAGGCAGCCCUUGCGGACCUGCACAAAUCUCUCUACAGCCCGGCCUGCGGCCUCGCUUCGGUUGGAGAGACAGAGGAAGCCAAAGGAGAAUCACGCCUCUGAAAUGCAGCCAUCCCUUUCCUGUGCACGGAUCUUCCUGGAGAGUGCUAGAUGCCAUGUGCCAGCGACCCCAGUUUGGUACCCAUUCUGCUUGGUGGGGGGAGAACGACUUUGACUCUGGCUGUUAGCUCUUGCUGAAACCUAGUCUUCCAUGUUUACUGCCAGGGUUGUAAGCUGUGCUUGCUUAUAGCUCGCCUAGGGCAUGUCUACAUUACCGGGAUGAUUGACUCUGUGGCAGUAAAUUUUCCAGCAUUCCAUUUAGCGGAUCUAGUGGGAACAUGCUAAAUUGAACACUGAGGGUACCCCCAUCAAUGCCGGUACUCCUUGCUGUCAUGAGGAGUACGGGAAAUCAAUGGGAGCAUGUGAGGAGAGUGCCCCAGCUCAGUUUAAGUGAACAUGAUUAGUGAAAGAGGUCUGCUUCCUCAGAAACAAACUGAAGAUGUUGGAAGAAGCACAUAUCCUGGAACCCUUCACCAUAUAGUUGCAAUCAUAUUAAAAAUGAGAUUGAGUUCAGUGUACAAGAAAAGAAAUUACAUCAGUUCCGCUGUGCUCACAUUGGAGACACAAGUCACUGGAAAAUCAGGGGAGAGAAUUUAGAAUGACUGAGCUUUUCUAACCAGAGAUAUGUAGUAUUGUAGCUCUCCGUCUCCAGUGUCUUUAAAGGACAGUUAAGAUUGAGAAAUCUCUCAUCAUUUUGCCACUUCUUUGUUUGCUAUUUUGGUUGGAAAUGUCUGA